AGGGGAGUGGCUCAACGGUAGAGUAGUGGUCUCCAAAACCAUUGGUUGCAGGUUCGAAUCCUGUCUCCCCUGCCA
rnacentral:tRNA from 2 species